UACGGAGGGAGCUAGCGUUGUUCGGAAUUACUGGGCGUAAAGCGCACGUAGGCGGCGAUUCAAGUCAGAGGUGAAAGCCCGGGGCUCAACCCCGGAACUGCCUUUGAAACUAGAUCGCUAGAAUCCUGGAGAGGCGGGUGGAAUUCCGAGUGUAGAGGUGAAAUUCGUAGAUAUUCGGAAGAACACCAGUGGCGAAGGCGGCCCGCUGGACAGGUAUUGACGCUGAGGUGCGAAAGCGUGGGGGGCAAACAGG
rnacentral:rRNA from 1 species